AUUGAACGCUGGCGGCAGGCCUAACACAUGCAAGUCGAGCGGAGCGGCGGACGGGUGAGUAAUGCCUAGGAAUCUGCCUGGUAGUGGGGGCAAACGUACGGAAACGGGCGCUAAUACCGCAUAAUAUCAGAUGAGACUAGGUCGGAUUAGCUAGAUGGUGGGGUAAAGGCCGACCAAGGCGACGAUCCGUAACUGGUCUGAGAGGAUGAUCAGUCACACUGCAUCUGAUACACGGUCCAGACGCCUACGGGAGGCAGCGGUGGGGAGUAGUGGACAAUGGGCGAAGGCCUGAUCCAGCCAUGCCGCGUGUGUGAAGAAGGGCUUCGGAUUGUAGAGCACUUUAAGUUGGGAGGCGUUACCAACAGAAUAAGCACCGGCUAACUUCGUGCCAGCAGCCGCGGUAAUAC
rnacentral:rRNA from 1 species